ensembl:lncRNA
GCCUCCCCCCUGGGCCGCGCACCUGGCCUCCGUGGGCCCUCCUGCCCUGGCGCCGGACUUCCGUGUCCCUUCACCUAGCCCGGGCGCCUCCUGCCAACACCCUGAGUCAAGCUGGGGGUGGGGCUCUGGGUGCGUCUACACUGGGCCCGCACCCGGCCAGGAGUAAAUGCAUUUACUGGGUCACGGCGUGACCUGGCUAGACAGACAGGGCCGCGCCCAGCGGAGUGAGAGAAGGCGUUGCCUCCUUUAAUUUCUCAAUCUUCCGUUCUCUCUACACGCGUUGGUUAAAAUCUAUAAAAAUGCAGAUCCUUCACCCCACCCACAUGUUCCGAUUCAGAAGCUGCGGGGAGAGGCUCAGAAUUUGUGCUUGGGCCGCACCCCAGGUGAGACUCAUGAAGAGACAGGUUUGCACGACUGGAGCACGCUUGGAGAUUACCUUCAUUGUGGGUCAUUUAUUAUGACAAAUACUUUCAAAGAAAAUACAUGAAAAGUUCCUCUGGAUGCUGUGUGACCAAUGGCAAGUGACCACUCUGAACCUCAGUCUCCUUAUCUGCAAAAGUGAGGUAGGAAGAGAAGGAGCCCCAGGGUGUCUGGGGAGGAGGGGAAGCUUCAGGCCACCUGGCCCCUCCUGAAAUAGAAGCUCCCUCGGGCAUCUGCAGAGAGCGUGUGCCAACUUGUCUGGGUUUUGAUGGAUGGGGGAUUGUUUUCUUGACUGGAAAAUAUUUGUGUUCCAAAGUUGGCGAGGCUUCCCUCCUGGAUUUUCUCAGCCUGUCAAAGAGCAGAGGAAAAGAGCCAGUGGGAGAGCCAGGGUUCAGAGAGACCAUGGCGGGAUGAGUAGGAGAGCCCGGUGUCCGCAUCACCUGAGUCUCGGUGUCCUUGUCUGUAACAUGGGGACAGUGCUGCUGCCUACCUCACUGGGCUGUUGGGAGAACAAGUGUGCAGCUUUACACACUGCAAAAUGGGGGCAUCUUGGAGUCUCAGACUCAAGGGUCCACCUGGGUCCCUUGGGGGCUUGUUAAAUGUCUUUGCCUUCCGGCAGUACUAUUCACAAGAGCCAAAGGUGGAAGUGACCCACAUGUCCAUCACUGGAGGAAUGGAUAAACAAAAUGUGGUCUGUACGUGCCGUGGAAUAUUAUUCGGCCAUGAACAAGAAUGCGGCCGAUUCAUGCUACAGCGUGGCUGAACCUUGAAAACCUUAUGCUAUGUGAGAGGAACCAGACACAAAAACCAUAUCUGAUUGCGUUUACAUGAACCGUCUGGAAUAGAUAAACCAUCCAUGGAGACACAUGCUAGUGUAGUGCUUGCCAAGAGCUGGGGGAGCAGGGAGCGGGGAGGGCCUGUUAAUGGGUGCGGGGUUGCGUGUGGGGUGAUGAAAAUGUUCUAGAAUUAGAUAGUGGUGCUGGUUGCACAACUCUGUAAAUAUACUAAGAAACCACUGAAUUAUACUCUUUCAAAGGGUAAACUUUAUAAUAUGUGUAUCAUUCCUCAAUAAAGCUGUUAUUGAAAAUGCCCCCGCCUAAGCUCCAGGCUCCGACUUUGUGACUCAUGGAAACCGCACACUCAACACACUCCUCCGGAAGUUGUAUUAACUGGGAAAAGUGGGAAGGGAAGCGAUUUGCCCCAAUCCAGUCCAGCUCUGAGCCACUCCCGGGAUCCGGAGAGGACUUCUGAAGGCCCAGCCUCACGCUGGGCUCUCGAAGUGGGGGAAGGAGAUGUCAAAGCCAGAUAAUGAGCUCCAUGGUCAGGAAUGAAGGGCUGGCGAUCAAAUACAUGGGUGGGGGUGGGGAGGGACAAAUCUCCAUGCAGAAGAAUUCCACGUGUUGUGGACAGAGAGAUGCUCCCCACUCUUGAAGUGUAGGCCCCAUGCCACUUCCUUCCAC